GAGGGUAUAGCUCAGUGGUAGAGCACGUGCUCAGCAUGAAUGAGGUCCUGAGUUCAAUCCUCAGUGCCUCCA
rnacentral:tRNA from 1 species